UUUAAUUACUCUUUUACUUAUUACUUAUAUUCAUCAUUAACCUUCGUUGAUCAUAUUAUGUGUGCUUGCAACUUGUAUUAACCCUAUAAUCAAAUAUAUUAAAGUGCUUAUGAAUGCAUGUUUGAGUUCUAGCUCAUAACCUGGAAAAGUGUUGAUCUAAGCAGGUUGUGCAGGUUUCAACAUCUAACUUAAAGGAAAAUGUGUUUAAGGUAAAUGCUUGAUGCUCCACUUGACUAAAGGCUUGUGGUUACAACUGACCUUUCAAAGAGCUGAGGGGAAAACUCUCCCCCUCGCUUCAAACUAACAAACUGAAAUAAGAAUAGCAUCUAGGAUGGCAGUUUAGCGAGGACAGGUGACAGUUUUAAAUUAAAAAUAAAGAACAUCCGUUAAAACUAUGCAAUACCUGGAAGAAAGAGGGGGGUCUGCGGUUACAGAGAUGUGCAACUUGUCACGUAUUCACAGAGGACAGAGACAGGGCAAAAGGUUCAAACAACAGCUAGAUGUUUAAACAAGAAUAAAAGUUAAAGUAUUAAACCAUAAAACAAUAUUGGGGAAUUAAGAUUAAAAUAUAAUGUUCAUAAGAAAAAUACUUAAAAGAAAAUGUAAUCAACAAUGUCUUAAAUUAACAGUAAAUUGGGGACAGGCAUAGAAAUCUUAUAUUAACCUAUGAGGAUCCUAGAGUAAAAUAGGGAUAAAAUCAGAUUAAUCUGCCUUAUACAAAUAAUUAAAUUAUUGAUAUUGUUGUACUAUUAUUAAAUAUAAAUUUAAUAAGCUGAAUUAAUAAAACUCAAAGCUCAGCAUAAAUUGAGCAAGAAGCUCAGACCUGUUGUCUGCAGAGAGCUGAGUUGUAUUCUGUGUAAAAGUCACAGGAAGUCACACCUCAGGCAGGCACAUACACACACAUGCAAAGUACUCUCAAUACAGGGUGAAGACGGCUGUGGUUGGACGAAGACUGAAGACAUCCGGCAGUGUGAACCAAUCAGAAAACAACAGCUUCUUAGUUAAAAACUCAUGUAAUAGUUUAGAAUUCGCUCUUUGUUGUGAACAGCUGCAUGCAGAGGAAUAUUGUCUUAGUUUUAAGUCAGAUCUGAUGUCAGCUAGAUCAACAGAGAGUCUGCAUGCAUGCAUUUCUGUACUAUCCAAUGCGUUUUUACUAAAUAUUCUUAAAUGAA